GAUAACCUCGGGAAACCUGGGUAUAAUACCCGAUAGGUCUCGAUUGCUGGAAUGCAUCGAGAUUUAAAGCUCCGGCGCCUAAGGAUGGGUCUGCGGCCUAUCAGGUAGUAGUGGGUGUAGCGUACCUACUAGCCUACGACGGGUACGGGUUGUGAGAGCAAGAGCCCGGAGAUGGAUUCUGAGACACGAAUCCAGGCCCUACGGGGUGCAGCAGGCGCGAAAACUUUACAAUGCUGGCAACAGCGAUAAGGGAACCUCGAGUGCCAGGUUACAAAUCUGGCUGUCGAGAUGCCUAAAAAGCAUUUCAUAGCAAGGGCCGGGCAAGACCGGUGCCAGCCGCCGCGGUAACACCGGCGGCUCGAGUGGUAACCGUUAUUAUUGGGUCUAAAGGGUCUGUAGCCGGCCGGAUAAGUCUCUUGAGAAAUCUGGCAGCUUAACUGUCAGGCUCUCAGGAGAUACUGUCUGGCUCGAGGCCGGGAGAGGUGAGAGGUACUUCAGGGGUAGGGGUGAAAUCUUGUAAUCCUUGAAGGACCACCAGUGGCGAAGGCGUCUCACCAGAACGGACCUGACGGCAAGGGACGAAAGCUAGGGGCACGAACCGGAUUAGAUACCCGGGUAGUCCUAGCCGUAAACGAUACUCGCUAGGUGUCGGCCACGGUGCGACCGUUGUCGGUGCCGUAGGGAAGCCGUGAAGCGAGCCACCUGGGAAGUACGGCCGCAAGGCUGAACUUAAAGGAAUUGGCGGGGGAGCACCACAACGGGUGGAGCUUGCGGUUUAAUUGGAUUCAACGCCGGAAUCUUACCGGGACCGACAGCAAUAUGAAGCCAGGCUGAAGACUUUGCCGGAUUAGCUGAGAGGUGUGCAU
rnacentral:rRNA from 1 species